rnacentral:rRNA from 1 species
AUUGAACGCUGGCGGCAUGCUUUACACAUGCAAGUCGAACGGUAACAGGGUGCUUGCACCGCUGACGAGUGGCGAACGGGUGAGUAAUGCGUCGGAACGUGCCGAGUAGUGGGGGAUAACGCAGCGAAAGUUGUGCUAAUACCGCAUACGUACUGAGGUAGUAAGUGGGGGACCUUCGGGCCUCACGCUAUUCGAGCGGCCGACGUCUGAUUAGCUAGUAGGUGAGGUAAAGGCUCACCUAGGCGACGAUCAGUAGCGGGUCGGAGAGGAUGAUCCGCCACACUGGGAAUGAGACACGGCCCAGACUCCUACGGGAGGCAGCAGUGGGGAAUUUUGGACAAUGGGCGAAAGCCUGAUCCAGCCAUGCCGCGUGUCUGAAGAAGGCCUUCGGGUUGUAAAGAACUUUUGUCGGGGAGGAAAUCCCCAGCGCUAAUACCGCUGGGGGAUGACAGUACCUGAAGAAUAAGCACCGGCUAACUACGUGCCAGCAGCCGCAGUAAUAC